AUGGGGCUGAGCCGGGAGGUCAGCCCUGCCCGGGCAGCCAAAAAGUGGGAAAACCUAAAAAAAACCUACAAGGAGCUCAGGAAACCACCCACAGGAACUGGCACUGAGACGGAGGAGCCCACUGCUGCAUCAUGGAAGUGGUUCUCCCUGAUGGAUGAGGCGAUAGGCAGCAAACCGUCUGUACGGCCUCCCUGCCUUAUUGCUUCAUCCUGGGAGGAGAGCCCUUCCACGUCUGUGGCACCCUCCUCUGUCUCAGUACCACAUGAUGAGGAAGAUGAGGGCGAGAGCAGCACCCCUGCCAAGCGGCCGAGGCUCGAGAGUCUUCUCCAUUUUCUGGAGAAGGCAGAGAAGAGAGAGGAAGAGAGAGAAAAGAGAGAAGAGGAAAGGGAGAAAAAGGAGGAGGAAAGGGAGGAGAGAUUGUUGUCUCUAUUAGAAAAAAUAAUUGAGAAAAUUAAAUAAAAUGUUGGAACAUUUAAUGAUGAGUUCUUUUUAUUUAGAAUAAAAAUAGAAACUCAAACAAUAAACUUAUACAUAACUUAUAACGGGAUAUUUCAAUUAUAGUUACAUUUUUAAAGGCAUAUUUAUAGGGACACACUUAUUCUACUGAAACUAUUUACACUUGUGUCUUUUGAAAUGUUUUUUACAUAUUUAAUUUGCUGUUUGACUUCAGAACAAAACAAGACAAAGGAAUAAAACAAGAAAAAAACCUGCUUUUCAAAACACCAAAUACUCUCUCUAUUACAGCUCGUGCCCUGGAGUGGUGUCGAUUAUACCGGGCUUCAACGGGACUCCUUACAGGCUCCCUGUAAGGAGUAAGGAGGGUGAUGGGCUGUGACGGGCACGGAUAUCCACCAUCACCGAUAAUGAUGAAGCCGUUCGGGGGCUUGAUCCUGACGUGGCAGCCAUCAAUGCUUCCCACCACCUUCCUAAAUGCUGCAGAUCCACCAAGCUUCUGGAAACCAGCUGAAACCUCUGCCAGUCCAUCCAAAGAGGGAAAGUUGAUGACCCUUCUGCGCAGAGCCAGUAUGGUCAACGUCGCAGACCGUGGCCUUGGGCAUGUCAAAGGCCUGGGCCACAACACGGUAUGAUGUGCCACUUGCCAGCCAGAAGAGAAACGUCCAGGUGUUUCCCCCAGCCAUGGUGAUCUGUGGCCCAAAGCUGCCCAAUCAGACCCGAGAUGGUGUCUCGGUUCAGGCAAAGUAAGGGUGGAGGUCAGAGUGACCAUCAAAAUACAUGGUCAGGAGGGGGACGUUUUUAUUCACCUGGCUGUAAAGUGGUGGUCCCUAAAAGAAAUAAAACUUGGUGAGUUUGUGUGAAACACUUAAGGAAAAAAAUAAAACAGAAAACUAAAAGGAAAAAGGAAAAAAAACAACUUCCCAAGUAAUGUAGCUACUUAAAAUUCAAUGUUUGAAGGA